GGGCGGGGCCUGAUUGUUAGAGCUCCUUGAAGGCGGAGCCUGGCCGUUAGAGCGUCUCGAGGAGAGGAACCUGGUUAUUAAAGCGCCUCGAGGGGCGGAGCCUGGGUUAGAGCGUCUCGAGGGGCCGAACCCAGAGGGAGAGGUGGGGCAAAAGCUGUGUCUGAUGAUUCCCUGGAUGGACCUUUGUGUGAAAAGACCAAAUACAGAAAACCGGCAGUGACUUCAAGGAUCCGAGAGGGAGGUGACGGGGACCUGGAUUUGGAGAUGGCCUGAAACAUCUUGCAUAACUGCAGUGCAAUAUCAAAACCAGGAACUUGACAUUGAUGCUAUCUACAGAACUUAUUCAAAUUCCACCAGCAAGGAGACAAUCUGAAAGACUUAUUGGUAGAAUUUGGGUUGAACAGAUGUGCUCCGUAGGUGUCCUAGUCCUGAAGCCCAGAGUGAGUCAAAAGUACCGGAGUUGGAGAUUCCUGCUGCAAACAUUUCCAUCCCCACCUGGGAGCCUGCCUUCCUGACAGUCCAGGCCCUUCGGCAGUAAGAAGGACCCUCUGAGAAGAGCGGUCGCUGCAGAGGCUGGAUGACAGACAGACACACCCACAAUCUUGGGGGAGGAAAUGGAUCCAGUCAGAGAGCAAAUGGAGCGGCCUCAUUUCCUUCCCUUUUGUCCUUUGCGGGAAACUGACAUUGACUCAGCUGUGAGCAGUGGGGUAGGGAGGGGUGUGAGGGGGUGUCUAGAGCAUCCUGAGGCUUGCCCUCCCUAUCUUGCUACUUAGGACUGUGGGCCCAGCCAUAAACCACUUUCUCCACCAUCUCGAGAGAAAGUUACACUUUAAAAAAAUUUUAUCUAUAUAUUUAUUUUGAGACAGAGUCUCGCCGUGUUGCCCAGGCUGGAAUGCAAUGGUAUGAUCUUGGCUCGCUGCAACUUCCGCCUGCCAGGCUCAAAUUAUCCUUCUGCCUCAAUCGAUCUUCCUGCCUCAGCCUCCCAAGUAGCUAGGACUACAGGCAUGCACCAUCACACCCAGCUAAUUUUUGUGUAUGUGUUUUGUAGGGACAAGGUUUCACCAUGUUGCUCAGGCUGGUCUCGAACUCCUGAGCUCAAGUGAUCCUCCCACCUCAACCUCCCAAAGUGCUGGGAUUACAGGCAUGAGCCACCAAGCCUGGCCAAAGAUGCACUUUUAAGAAGAAUUUCAUUUACCAAGCAUUUUGCAUGUGACAUGUAUUGAUCCAGGAGCAUUUUUUAAAUAAAGAGAAUCUCACUGUGUCACCCAGGCUGGAGGGCAGUGGCGCGAUCACAACUGAUUGCAGCCUGAAAUUCCUGGGCUCAAAUAAUCCUCCCACCACAGCCUCCCAAGUAGCUGGGACCAUAGGUGCUGACCACCAAGCCCAGCUAAUUUUUGAAUUUUCUGUAGAGACAGGGUCUUGCUAUGUUGCCCAGGCUGGUCUCUAGAACUCCUGGCCUCAAGCAACCCUCCUGCCCUCAUCCUCCCAAAUUGCUGGGAUUACAGGAGUGAGCCACUGCACCCGUCUGAUCCAGGAGCUUUGCAUUUCAUUUCCCUUGCUCACAUUCCCUUCCCACAGAUGAGGAGACUGAUGCUGUAGGAAGUUAAGUGACUUUCCCAAGGUCACAUGGGUGGAGAGUGAGCCUGGAGACUAAUACAUGUCCUGUCUGGCUGCCAUCUGUGGAUGUGGGGCCAGAGGAAAAAAGAGUAGCCUCUUUUUGUACAGCUCGGUUGAGGCUACCAAAUUCUUUCACAUCCUUGAAUUCAGUUGGCUUUUAAGACAGGCCAUGUUAUAACUUUAAUUUUUAAGCAGGUGGAGAGAAACACUAGGCUUACAUCAAAUAAUAUGCCCAAGGUCAACAAGGAAGCAAGGGAAAUAACCCAGAGUCAAACCCAGGUCUACUACACUCAGGAUCCGUACUCGGGCAGGGCACUGUGGCUCAUUCCUAUAAUCCCAGCACUUUGGGAGGCUGAGGAAGGAGAACCACUUGAGCCCAGGAAUUAGAGACCAGCCUGGCCAACAUAGUGAGACCCCAUCUCUACAAAAUAAAAAAAAUUGUCAGGCGUGGUGGUGCAUGCCUGUAGUCCCAGCUACUCAGGAGGCUGAGACGGGAGGAUUGCUUGAGCCUAGGAGUUUGAGGCUGCAGUGAGCAGUGAUUACACCACUGCACUCCAGCCUGGGCGACAGAGCAAGACUCCGUCAAAAAAAAAAAAAGUUAAUAAGGAGGCAGGAGGCCAGGCACAGUGGCUCAUGCCUAUAAUCGCAACCUAUGGGAGGCUGAGGCAGGAGUUUGAGACCAGCCUGGGCAACGUAGCAAGACUCCAUCUCUAUUAAAAAAAAAAAUUAGCCAAGCGUGGUGGUGUGGACUUCUAGUCCCAGCUACUCAGGAGGCUAAGGCAGGAGGAGGAGGUUCACUUGAGCCCAGGAGUUCAAGGAUGUGGUAAGCUAUGAUCAUGACACUGCACUCCAGCCAGGCAACAGACCUGUCUCAAAAAAAAAAAAAAAAA
rnacentral:lncRNA from 1 species